UCACACAAGCGGUGGAUGAUGUGGCUCAAUUCGAGGCUACGCGAAGAACCUUAUCCUAGUCUUGACAUGUUUAGGAAUCCCUCUGAAAGGAGGGAGUGCCCGCAAGGGAGCCUUUACACAGGUGCUGCAUGGCUGUCGUCAGCUCGUGUCGUGAGAUGUCGCGUUAAGUCGCUUAACGAGCGAAACCCUUGUCCUUAGUUACCAGCGGGUCAUGCCGGGAACUCUAAGGAUACUGCCGGUGUUAAACCGGAGGAAGGUGGGGAUGACGUCAAGUCCUCAUGGCCUUUAUGACUAGGGCUGCACACGUCAUACAAUGGCACACACAAAGGGAUGCAAAAUCGUGAGAUCGAGCAAACCCCAAAAA
rnacentral:rRNA from 1 species